ensembl:lncRNA
UCAGAAGGGCCCCGGGAAGGGCCGCCGGCCCCCAUGGAGAGCAGGGUCCCCGUGCGCGCUCCCCGGUCCUCUGCCUCGCCGGCACUCACGGAGUGUCCCCAUGCAGGGUCCCUGGCCCCGAAGAAGGGUCCCUGCAGAGGGUCCCUCCCCAGCACAGCCGCCCCAGCAGAGAUCGGUGCCCGCGGUGGUGGGCUGCAGGUGCCCUGCUCCGGCAGGAGCUGUGCCCCGCGUGGCAGGAGGUGGGCAGGGAGAGGCAGGAGCUGUGCCUGGGCAGGGAGAACAGUUACCAUUCAUGCUUGCUUUUUCUUGCUUAUCUUCUCAAAAUGCUUACGCAUUCCCGCGGGAGAGAGGACAGCAUGAUGUAUUGAUAGGCCCUCCCCAUCUCACUCCUGGCCUCGUGAGACCCUUAUCCCCGGCAGACCCCACUCUGGGGUGCUUUCUCCCACGUUCAGCCUUGCACAUCAGAGCUGCUCCUUGGCAGGGCCAAGGACUUGGCCGCCGCCUCCUUCCUGUGUCUCAGCAGGGUGAGUCAGUGCCUCGCCGUGCCCAGCGCCAGCUCUGCCCGGAGCCUGGCACUGCUGCGAGGCGUGGAGGCUCUUUGUGCGCACACGAGUUUCCGGAGCACCCCGAGGUCCCCAGAGCUCACUGCAUCCCGAAUCCUGCUGCGGGGACGGCGCAUGAGGGUGCUGCCCGUGCAGAGUGACACGUUCCCAGAUCCCUCGCUGUCGUGGCCCCUUCAUCCUGCCUUGCCGGGAGGGCGUUGGAAAAGCACUGAUAUCAUCGGCACAGAGCCUGACUCAUCCUGGCUCUUCAGCACAAGCCGUGCCGCUCAGCGGGGCACACAUUUUAUUCCAAUUAAACCAUUGCAGUCAAGCCAGCUCUACAUAAUGAUUUUUUUUUUUUUAACUCGUAGCAAAGCGUGCCUGCCCCGGGCCAAAAGGUGAGAGGGGACAGAAGUGACGCUGGAGUCAGUGGAGAGUCUCCACCUCUGGUAUGGAGCCCUAAGAAUAAGUCUUGCCAGAAACCUGCAGGGUCUGUCUCGGCUGCUGCAGCAUCCCUGCCUCCCUUGUGCCUCCAGUGCAGGCUCGCAGCACUGUGUUGUGUCAAGAGCCCUCGCCCGUACCGCAAAUGCCCAGGUCGGAAUGUCACCUCCACGACACGACACGGAGUGCAGCUCCUGCCAAAAGACCCCAGGGGGGGCAGCAUCAAAGUGCCCCUGUCACUGAGAGAAAAUGUAAGGUGACUUGUUCCUCCUGCCCUCCCUGCUCAGGUUUUUCCCCUUUAUUAGAGGUUUGGGAGGUGAGUCAGGGAGCUGCGGGGUGAGGAUGGAGCUGCGGAGGAAUCGGCAGCUAAGGAAAAGGCAAACCAGUUCCAGGCACAGGUGAAUCACUUGCUGGUGAAAAUACAUCUUAUUCUCUGGGAGGCAUGCGUGGAUGGGCUGGGAGUGAGCUGCAGCUUGACUCCAUCAGAAAAUUGUGGAGUUAAGAAAAAAAAACCAAAGCAAGGCAAGGCUGCUUUUCUAGUAAAUGAGGCGAUACAUUGCAAGGGAGCAGCCUGCAGCCGGCAAAGCUCCAGCAGCCCGUGGUCCUGUGGCUCCCUUAAAAGGGGCGAUUUUAGCCUGGGACAGCAGGGAGACAGAAAAGCCAUAAACACCCUUAGAGGAAUGUGGCUGCCGAGAAACGAGAAUCUCCGCAGGCGAGGCG